rnacentral:lncRNA from 1 species
GUCCACUGAGUAGCAUCGCAUGUUCUUAGAAUAUAUUUCUCGCACAAUUCUGGACAUCGGUGGACAUGCAACAUUGCAAAACCACGUUUACAAAUGAAAAUCAACAUUCAGACUAUAGUCAUAAAGUAGGACAAUAAAUGAACAAAAGACAAACCCGGAACACAGAAGUACAAACAAUAGACCAUCAACUCUGAAAACUAAAAGAAAGAUAAAAACA